rnacentral:rRNA from 2 species
GGGCGUAAGCGCGCGCAGGCGGUUUCUCAAGUCUGAAUGUGAAAUCCCCCGGCUUCAACCUGGGAGGUGCAUUUGGAAACUUGGGGAGCUUUGAGUCCUGAAGAGAGGAGUAGAAUUUCCACGUGUAGCGGUGAAAUGCGUAGAGAUGUGGAGGAACACCGGUGGCGAAGGCGGCUCUCUUUGGUACUGUAACUGACGCUGAGGCGCGAAAGCGUGGGGAGCAAACAGGAUUAGAUACCCUGGUAGUCCACGCCGUAAACGAUGACUGUUUGGAGGUUGAGGGUUUCAGCCCUUUAUUGCUGAGCUUAACGCAUUAAUCACUCCGCCGGGGAAUUACGGCCGCAAGACUGAACUUCAAUGGAUUUGACGGGGGCCCCCCCAACCGGGGAACCUGGUGGUUUAUUUCAUACCACCCCGAAAAACCUUACUGGGUCUUGACUUCCUC